rnacentral:rRNA from 1 species
AGAGUUUGAUCCUGGCUCAGAGCGAACGCUGGCGGCAUGCUUAACACAUGCAAGUCGCACGGGCAGCAAUGUCAGUGGCGGACGGGUGAGUAACGCGUAGGUAUCUAUCCAUGGGUGGGGGAUAACGCCGGGAAACUGGUGCUAAUACCGCAUGACACCUGAGGGUCAAAGGCGCAAGUCGCCUGUGGAGGAGCCUUCGUCCGAUUAGCUAGUUGGUGGGGUAAAGGCCUACCAAGGCGACGAUCGGUAGCUGGUCUGAGAGGAUGAUCAGCCACAUUGGGACUGAGACACGGCCCAAACUCCUACGGGAGGCAGCAGUGGGGAAUAUUGGACAAUGGGCGCAAGCCUGAUCCAGCAAUGCCGCGUGGAUGAAGAAGGUUUUCGGAUUGUAAA